rnacentral:rRNA from 1 species
AACGAACGCUGGCGGCAGGCCUAACACAUGCAAGUCGAGCGAAGCCUUCGGGCUUAGCGGCGGACGGGUGAGUAACGCGUGGGAACGUGCCCUUUGGUACGGAAUAGCCCCGGGAGACUGGGAGUAAUACCGUAUGUGGUCGAGAGACGAAAGAUUUAUCGCCAAAGGAUCGGCCCGCGUUGGAUUAGGUAGUUGGUGGGGUAAUGGCCUACCAAGCCGACGAUCCAUAGCUGGUUUGAGAGGAUGAUCAGCCACACUGGGACUGAGACACGGCCCAGACUCCUACGGGAGGCAGCAGUGGGGAAUCUUAGACAAUGGGGGAAACCCUGAUCUAGCCAUGCCGCGUGGUCGAUGAAGGCCUUAGGGUUGUAAAGAUCUUUCAGUGGGGAAGAUAAUGACUGUACCCACAGAAGAAGCCCCGGCUAACUCCGUGCCAGCCGCCGAGUAAAAC